rnacentral:rRNA from 1 species
UACGUAGGGUGCGAGCGUUAAUCGGAAUUACUGGGCGUAAAGCGUGCGCAGGCGGUGCGCCAAGCUCGAUGUGAAAGCCCCGGGCUUAACCUGGGAAUUGCAUUGAGGGCUGGCGUGCUCGAGUGCGGCAGAGGGGGGUGGAAUUCCACGUGUAGCAGUGAAAUGCGUAGAGAUGUGGAGGAACACCGAUGGCGAAGGCAGCCCCCUGGGCCGACACUGACGCUCAUGCACGAAAGCGUGGGGAGCAAACAGG